ACUCAAAAAUACCCCGUUAAUGGAAACAAAACAAAUGCGUUUUUCUUGCUCACUCUGGUUCUCGCUCAAGCUUGAAGCUUCCAUGGGAGAAGCUUGAAGCUCUCUUGCUCCCUCUCUCUCCAUCUCUCUCUUCGUCCUUCUCUCUCUGUCUACCUCUCUCCUCCUCUCUCUCAUCAGUUCAAACCCUAGAAAUUGGGGAUUUCCAAUAUUAAAGUGGUUAGACAGGAUUCUGGACGAAGCUGCCAUGGUCCAAAAGAUUCCCGAUCAGUCACCUGAUCCUGCUGUGGUCAUGGAGCAAUAUCGGGCUAAGAAAGCCAGACAAAUGGACCUAUAUGGCAAGGCAGAAGCAAGCCUCAAGGAGCUAGAAGCCAUAGAACAAGAGAAGCAAAGAGUUCGGGCACAAAUAGAGGCAGACAGGCUACAUCGGGCAAAACUGAUUCUGGAGCUGCAAGAACUCGAGAGGCAGACUAGUGCAAGCGAGCCGGUGAUUGAUGCGCUAACUUCCCAAGCCAUUGCACUCACACUAGCUGAGACAGAGGCCAAUUCACUUCAAAAAUCCAUUAAUAUAGAAUUUGAGAAUGUAAAAGACUUGGUCUCUACAGCUUUGGCUUUUAUGAAAUAAUCACCGUUCGAGGCAAUUAAGAUUUUCCUUAA